rnacentral:rRNA from 1 species
GACGAACGCUGGCGGCGUGCUUAACACAUGCAAGUCGAACGGAAAGGCCCUGCCUUUGUGGGGUGCUCGAGUGGCGAACGGGUGAGUAACACGUGAGUAACCUGCCCUUGACUUUGGGAUAACUUCAGGAAACUGGGGCUAAUACCGGAUAGGAGCUCCUGCUGCAUGGUGGGGGUUGGAAAGUUUCGGCGGUUGGGGAUGGACUCGCGGCUUAUCAGCUUGUUGGUGGGGUAGUGGCUUACCAAGGCUUUGACGGGUAGCCGGCCUGAGAGGGUGACCGGCCACAUUGGGACUGAGGUACGGCCCAGACUCCUACGGGAGGCAGCAGUGGGGAAUAUUGCACAAUGGGCGGAAGCCUGAUGCAGCAACGCCGCGUGCGGGAUGACGGCCUUCGGGUUGUAAACCGCUUUCGCCUGUGACGAAGCGUGAGUGACGGUAAUGGGUAAAGAAGCACCGGCUAACUACGUG